rnacentral:rRNA from 1 species
GAAUAUUAGUCAAUGCUCGAAAGAGUGAACUAGCUAACUGAAAUCAAUAAUAAAAAUUGAUAACAUAAGGGAAAAUAAUGAUAUUACCUUAUUAUUAGUGUCGUCCAAAACUGGUGCCAGAAGACUCGGUAAGGCCAGAGACACAAACGUUAAUCGUCUUAAUCAGGCGUAAAGGGUUUGUAGGCGGCUUUAAAAUUUAUUUAUUAAAAAAAAAAAUAAUAAAUAAAGAAAAAAAGCUAGAAUCAAAUAGAGGAUAUAUUAAAUAAUGCUUAGAGUAGGUCUGAUAUCCUUAGAUACUAAGUAGAAUAUUAAAGGCGAAAGCUUUUUUCCAUUAAUGAUUGACGCUCAGAAACGAAGGUGAGGAUAGGAAAUAGGAUUAGAUACCCAAAUACCCCUCUCUGUCAACGAUGAAUGGUAGUUAUUAGUAAAAAUUUUAUUAAUGGCAAUGUUAACACGAUAACCAUUCCGCCUUGUGAGUACAACUGCAAAGUUGAAAACAAAAAAAUUAGUCGGUUUCGGAGCAAACGAAGUGAAGCAUGUUAUUUAAU